rnacentral:rRNA from 1 species
GACGAACGCUGGCGGCGUGCCUAACACAUGCAAGUCAACUUGACUGAAGGAGCAAUCUGACAGUAGAGUGGCGCAAGGGUGCGUAACGCGUAAGUAACUUGCCCCAAGGUAAGGAAUAACGUCGAGAAAUCGGCGCUAAUACCUCAUAAUGCAGCGGAUCCGCAUGGAUAUGUUGUUAAAGGUUUACCGCCUUGGGAUAGGCUUGCGUCUGAUUAGUUAGUUGGUGUGGUAACGGCACACCAAGGCUACGAUCAGUAACUGGUCUGAGAGGAUGAUCAGUCACACUGGAACUGAGACACGGUCCAGACUCCUACGGGAGGCAGCAGUGAGGAAUAUUGGGCAAUGCUCGAAAGAGUGACCCAGCAACGCCGCGUGGAGGAUGAAGGUAUUCUAUAUCGUAAACUCCUGUGAGAGCAGACGAAAGACAGAUUAUAAUCUGGAUGACUGUAUGCUCAGAGGAAG